GCUGCCUCACACUAACUGACUGUUACAACUGAUCAACUCCAUCGAUCAUCCACCAGGAACAAGUGCACUGUAGCUAACAAGGAACUCCCAGUGUCGAAAGUUAGUCAGGUGUGAAGUUAGCUGGCUAACUUAACUAGCGAGCCACAUGCAGUUUGACAGCGUGUCUCGUUAGCGCGGUUAGCGUUAACUAGUUAGCCAGUUAGCUAGCGACGGGGUUAAGGGCUGGAGAGAUGUGUCGGUUUACCUCAUCCGUCUGAAGUCCACGGAUCUGCGGGGCAAGUAGAGCCAUGGUGUCCUCGCCCUUCUUCUUCUUCUUCCUCCUCUUCCUCCCAGAGAGCGACAACAAGAAGACAGUGGUCCGGACGACAGCAGCCUCUCCUCUGGGGUUUAGUUACCACUCCGGAUCUGUUAUUCCCUCAGUGUCGGUGACGUUAGGCCUUAACACCCGGUCAACCUGAUCAGUUGUUAACUGUGACACCGUCGUCACACCGUGUAUUCCUCCUCUUCCUCCUCCUCUUCCUCCUCCCCAUACGGUUCCCUCCGCCUCUUCUGGUUUCCUCCUCCUCCUCCUCCUUCUGUUCUAUUGCCCUGUUAUAGAUUCAGCAAACCCUGAGGAAACGCUGAAGAAUUCUGAGGAAGCCCUAAGAAAACCUGUAGGAAACCCUGAGGAAGCCCUUAGGAAAUGCUGAAGAAACCCUGAGGAAGCCCUAAGAAAACCUGUAGGAAAUCCUUAGGAAAUGCUGAAGAAACCCUGAGGAAGCCCUUAGAAAACCUGUAGGAAACCCGGGGGAAACCCUGAGGAAGCCCUAAGAACACCUGUAGGAAACCCUGACGAAACGCUGAAGAAACCCUGACGAAACCCUCAGGAAACCAUGUGGAAAAAAAAUAAGGAGACCCACAGGGAACUCGGAGGAAAUGCAAAGGAAAAGAUGAGGAAACCCUGAUGAAAUACCGAAGAAGCCCCAAGAAAACCUUCUAGAAACACUGAGGAAACCCCAAAGAACCCCGGAGGAAGCCCUAAGAAAAAUCUUAGGAAACCAUAAGGAAACCCAGAGGGAACACAGAAGAAGCCCUCAGGAAACCAGGAAACCAUGAGGAAACCCAAAGAGAAAAUUAAUGAAACACUGAGGAAACCUGAAAGAAAACCAGAGGAAAUGUUAAUGAAUUAAUGAGGAAUCAAUGAGAAACGCUAAAUAAACCCAGAGGAAGCCCUAAUAAACAUUUUAAGGAACCCUGAGGAAACCCAGAGGGAAAACUGAGGAAUAAAUGAAGAAACCAUGGAGAAACGCUGAAUAAACCCUGAGGAAGCCCUAAGAAACAUUUUCGAAUAUCAUGAUGAAACGCUGAGGAAACACAAACGAAUCAACAAGGAAACCCUUAGGAAACUCUGAUGAUACCAUGAGGAGACCCCAAUGAAACACUAAGGAAACCUUUAUACCAAAGCACGUGAUGGGAGAAGUAAAAGUACCCAACCAACCGAUUUCUUCCACACCCCACCUCUAUUAUUCACUAACUUUAGUAGUUAGUAGUAGUAGUACUUUAGUAUGUAGAAUCCACAUCUCUUGGAAUUUUUUUCUAACAAAAAAGCUUAACCUCUCAGAUUAAUACAGUAAAAUGGUAUAAAGAAGCACAAUCUGCUAACCAGCUUUAAGCAUGAGAAGGUUUUUUGACCAAAUUUGAAGAGUUUCCCGCACAGUGAUCCUAAGGAAUCACGUUUAUGAGAGUGAGACAGACAUACGGACAGAAACCACAGAAAACACACUGCCUGUGGCUGGCACCAGUACGGAGCCAGAACUGGUGUCAGUAAUGAUCUUACCACGCAGGGCCGGCCCUGGCAAUGUUGGCACCCUAGGCGAGAUUUCAAAUUGGCGCCCCCCCAACAUACACACUCAAACUGUCAUGCAUCCACAAUAACUUUUGGACUGUAUACAGAUGCACACACAGGCAGACAAAAUUGUAAGCUAUAAAAAACAAUAAAAAUAUAUAAAAAAAUAUAUAGAGUCUAAAAUCAGCUGUACUGAUAGCAUAUCAUGUCAUGUCGACAAAAAUAAAUAUUAAUGAUGUCCACAAUCGGGGUGAUUCUUACCUCUAUAUUGCUCUUUCUUCUCCUCUACUUUGCAGUGCUUUCUGAAUUGUGCACCUGAUAGUUUAAUCUUUUUUUGAUUCAUCUUUGACUCUAACAGCAGUCUGUCACCGCAGCGUGUCUGUUCACACAGGGAGCCAUCCAGGAGGAUGUUUUAGAUGCUGGCUUGCCUGUCCACGGAGCCACGGAUGGUGACAUCAGCAAAUGUCCCUACUAUGCUGCCAAAAUGACGGCGUCGAGUGGAACGGCAUAUGCCAGUCAACCCGCCAUGGCCGACCUCCGACACCCAACGGGACAGGUUCUGUUUGCGACUUGGAUUGCGGCUCUUGCUGGAUUCGCUGCAUGGUAUCUGAUGUGAUCCCGUCUCCAGCCUGUCAUUUUGCUGCUGAGAGAGGGAGAGGGAGAGAGGGAGAGGGAUGAGAAACAUUGAAGGAAAGCGAAUAAGGAUAUUGAGACCAUUUCAUAGUUUAAUACAAAUAUUCUUUAGGGGUCCAGGCAAAUUCAACAUUGCACUUAAAAACUAACUGGCUAUACAGCUGACAAUGAUGCACCUAUAUACAAUACACUGUUACACAAGAACAGUUCUUUUUUUAAAAUCCAUUCUUACAUUUCGUAAUUCAAACUUGGCCUCCAGAAAGUUGGUACAUGUGCACAAGUGAUAGGAAUCCAAAGCUAUUUUUCAAGACAUAGCACACCUACACUUUGACAAGUGCAUGUUUUAUUAAAACUAUAUCAGAUAAUUGAAUGUCUACUGAUGCAUGUUGAAAUGAUUUAAUUCUUUGCUUUGGGUUUUUAAGCUAUAUUAUGAUUAAGGUGCAAACAGAGAAGUUUGAGAAGGAAAUUUUCUUCUUCUAAUAUUAAUGGUUUAUCUAAAUUCUUCUAAUAGACCUGUAGUUUAUCUACUUGACGGUUACUUAUGUUCGAGGUAGGUCUUUUAACAUCUCAUUUGUUUUGAAUACACAAGUAUCCACCAUCGCUACAACUGGGUACCCAUCAUGCAUAUGACUUUGACGUAAGUUUUCUCCUGUUAGUACAAAAUUAUAAUAAUACAAAGAUAAUUACACUGCAUGUGUAAUUAAUUUAAAUUUUCACCCUGGCACAGUAUGCGUGUUGCACACAGAGUUCCAAAGGAGAUGUGUUGAUAGUAACAUUUAAACCAGGAUGCUGUGCUCUCAACGCAUACUGCAUGUGACUAUGCAGUAUCCUUUCACUAGCAAAGCUCAUUCAGGACAACAGCUGGAGUGCAGCUGUUUGGUCACAGCCAUGGAAACCUAGGUAAUGAUACUGAUGUGUUAUGCAUUCUCGUUUCUCAGGUUCCUGCUGCAGAAAGAUGGCAAUAUAGUAUGUUGGGCAUGAACUGCCUGAUAUACUCCUGUAGUGUCCAUGUUUAAUUCAUUUUCAUGCCAGUGGGUUUUUUUUAAAUGCUAAAAGUGUUUUUGGAAAUACAGAAAGGACACAUACUUGAAUUUCAGGGACGCAGAUUGAGUAAAACUUAGUGUUACGUGGGGAGGAAUAAUUUGUGUUGGUUUUGAAUUCUCUUGCAUUUUCAUUAACCCCAGUUCUUAUAUCCCUUUGUGUGUCUAACUGAACAGAGCUUUAUUAGUAAGUGAAGACAUAGAGUAAACUUCAUGGUGUGAGAGGGAAAAUCCAGUAGUACGUCCUGCUGCUAUACGUGAAAUGAAACUCCCUUCUUUUUUUCUGUUCAUGCUGAAAUAAAGUGGAUUCACUUGG